CGCCCACGAACUUGUUGAUGACGAGAGAGGACCGGUGUACCUUCAUGGCGCCGUUCUGUUGCUGGGGCUGCGUGCUUACCUUCACCUCGACGAUCGUUCCCCUGUCCACCACUUCCACUUCCUCUUCUUCUUCCUCUUCCUCGUAUCGGUUAGUUUCCUCUAAUUCUUCUUCUUCCUCCUCCUCCUCCUCCUCCAAUUGUGUUAUUUCCGUCGUGUCGUUCCCUACAGUAUCUUCGUUAUCUUGCUCGACGUCUUCUGGCAUUUGUGGUUGUGUAAUUUCAGUGGCAUCGGAUGCGUGACCAGGUUUGUCUCCGGAGGUGGUGUCGGUCAAGGACAGGACGAGUCGGCCGUCCACGCGCUGAGCGUGAAAGUAGUUCUUUGAAGGGACGGCGACGGCUUCCAUGACGAGGCGCCCGUCUAGGCGGUGAGGCCUCAUGUGG
rnacentral:lncRNA from 1 species